rnacentral:tRNA from 1 species
GGAGGGGUGGCCGAGUGGCUGAAGGCGGCGGUUUGCUAAACCGUUGUACGGUUUUGAGCCGUACCGUGGGUUCGAAUCCCAUCCCCUCCGCCA